UGGGGAAUCUUGCGCAAUGGACGAAAGUCUGACGCAGCGACGCCGCGUGGGUGAUGAAGGCCUUCGGGUUGUAAAGCCCUGUGGGGAGAGAAGAAUUAGUACUGGCUAACAUCCAGUAUGAUGACGGUAUCUCCUUAGCAAGCACCGGCUAACUCUGUGCCAGCAGCCGCGGUAAGACAGAGGGUGCAAACGUUGUUCGGAAUUACUGGGCGUAAAGCGUGUGUAGGCGGCCACGUAAGUCGGAUGUGAAAGCCCCGGGCUCAACCCGGGAAGUGCACUCGAUACUGCGUGGCUUGAGUACUGGAGAGGUUGGUGGAAUUCUCGGUGUAGAGGUGAAAUUCGUAGAUAUCGAGAGGAACACCGGUGGCGAAGGCGGCCAACUGGACAGAUACUGACGCUGAGACACGAAAGCGUGGGGAGCAAACAGG
rnacentral:rRNA from 1 species